rnacentral:sRNA from 1 species
GUGCCACGGCCGUCUGAGCUAAGUUCAUAAAAAACGAAAAGGCGCAGAAAUCUGCGCCUUUUUU